UACGUAGGGUCCGAGCGUUGUCCGGAAUUACUGGGCGUAAAGAGCUCGUAGGUGGUUUGUCGCGUUGUUCGUGAAAACUCACAGCUCAACUGUGGGCGUGCGGGCGAUACGGGCAGACUUGAGUACUGCAGGGGAGACUGGAAUUCCUGGUGUAGCGGUGGAAUGCGCGGAUAUCAGGAGGAACACCGGUGGCGAAGGCGGGUCUCUGGGCAGUAACUGACGCUGAGGAGCGAAAGCGUGGGGAGCGAACAGG
rnacentral:rRNA from 1 species